UUGAUAAUAAAGAUGGGUGUGUGUGUGCCUUGGUGCUUUAGAUGCGAAAUUGAGUAUAUGUCCCUCAAUGUCCCUAAAUUGAGUUUAUGUCCCUCAAUGUCCUUAUAAUGAGUUUAUGUACCUCAAUGAAUGUAAGUGGAGAAAUCCCUUGAGACCUUAGAUGCGAAAUUGAAUAUAUGUCUCUCAAUGUUCCAAAAUUGAAUAUAUGUCCCAAGACAAUGUUCAUAGUCCGCUCUGUUUUGUUGCCUAUAUAUUAUGAAGUUUACAGGAACAACGUUUGGGAACAAGUGCUAGACUCAAGCUUUAUAGUCGAAAAUUGUGUUCAUCAGUUACUUUAAUGUUGGAACUUUUUAUCGCAGAGAUUCUGUUCUGUUUCAGGUCUGAUGCAGGCUUAACUUGCGAUUGCUUCAGGUCUGAUACGGGAUAGUCCUUUGCUGAAUGCUACCACGGCUGAGCCUGGUUCGGCGCACACAUAUUCGGCUGCUGUCAAUUGGAAAAGUCUGACCCUGGGGCGAUUCAAAAUGCAAUAUUGAUGCAUCAUUUGCGUCACAUUUAAAUAGAGUUGGGAUUGGAAUAUGCAUCUAUGACGAGCUUGGUCAGUUUGUGCUUUCAAAGAGAAAAUUGAUUGCCCUUCUUUGUGGAGUGGAUGUUGGUGAACCUCUUGUGAUCUGUUUCAGGUUUUACGCAGGCAGAACCUGUGACUGUUUCGGGUCUGAUACAGGCUGGUGCUUUGCAGAAUGUUACAGUGGCUGAGCUUGAUGCUGCGCAGACAUAUUUGGCCGCUGUUGAUGUUGGUAAACAUGUGACUGAUUCGGGUCUGAUACAGGCUGGUGCUUUGCAGAAUGCUACAGUGGAUGUGCUUGAUGCGGCGCAGACAUAUUCAGCCGCUGUUAAUGUUGGUAUGUCCCUCGAUGUCCCUAAAUUGAGUUUAUGUCCCUCGGUGUCCCUAAAUUGAGUUUAUGUCCCUCGAUGUCCAUAAAAUUGAUGGUCUGAAUGCAAUUUCAAUGUGAAUAGUUAUUCAUAAUCACCAAUGUAAGUGGAGAAGACCCUUAACGAGAAAUGUAGUCUAUAAAAUACUACUGUUAACACAAACAAAAUCAUUUAUU